rnacentral:misc_RNA from 1 species
UCCGGUUUGACACCGGCAGUCUCCCUAGAGUUCCCGCCUUGACGCGCUGGCAACUAGAAACAGGGGUUUCGCUCGUUAAGGGACUUAACCCGACAUCUCACGACACGAGCUGACGACAGCCAUGCAACACCUAUAUACGUUCCACCCGUGAGGGUGUAGACCUACUUUCAUAGGUUUAAUCCGUACAUUUCGAGCCCGGGUAAGGUUCUUCGCGUUGCAUCGAAUUAAGCAACAUGCUCCACCGCUUGUGUGAGCCCCCGUCAAUUCCUUUGAGUUUCAACCUUGCGGUCGUACUCCCCAGGCGGGGUACUUCCUGCGUUAGCGCCGGCACCCAGAGGGUCGCUCCCCCAGGCACCUAGUACCCAUCGUUUACGGCGUGGACUAC